rnacentral:tRNA from 1 species
GUCCCCGUGGCUCAACUGGAUAGAGCGAAGGGUUUCUAACCCUUAGGUUGCAGGUUCGACUCCUGCCGGGGGCA